rfam:Ictidomys tridecemlineatus contig016715, whole genome shotgun sequence.
GGGGAUGUAGUUCAGUUGGUAAAGUGCUUGCCUUGCAUGCACAAAGUCCUGGGUUCAAUUCCCAGCACCACCA